UACUCCCGAUGCGGAAUACUCUGCGGGGUACAGUGUUACGCUGCGCGUGAGCCCCUUGUCAUGUCUUUCUAGAAGAGCGCAACGGAAUGCAUGUGCAUGUAUCAUGUGUCCAGUCUUUGCCAUUUCUAACUUUUCGUGGGAGCCGUCCAUAAAUAUUUACAAUUCUAUGCAACCCUACUUGCAAACGCCGUCCUUGACCAUCUGGCGGAACAUCGUCUAG
rnacentral:lncRNA from 1 species